rnacentral:sRNA from 1 species
CUCACCAAUCGUCCGGCUGCCAUUGCUGGAUGAAUGGUGGAGUCUGCCCAUAAAAGAGGGGAUAAUGCAACCCAGAUAUAGCCAAUGCUUUCAAGUCUAUAGGCACGAACAAGCAGCUUAAAGGUUUGGCGACGAGCUAGAUAUGACUAUACAAUACUCCGAAGGAGACUCCAGCAUGAAACAUAAAAAGAUCUCGUGACAAUCAGGCAGGCAGGCUCACGGAUGUCUCGAUAAUUUCAGCAACGUAUAAAAGUGACUUGUAUGGAAAUAUAAAGCUACUCCCAGAUUUUCACUAAUUAAUUAAUCAAUGAAAAGUAAUAUAUUACUUCUCCUGAACUCAAUCCAUUUGAGUCGGAAUUUGUCUA